GAUGAACGCUAGCGGCAGGCCUAAUACAUGCAAGUCGAGGGGCAGCAGGAAUAGCAAUAUUUGCUGGCGACCGGCGCACGGGUGCGUAACACGUAUACAAUCUGCCUUCUACAGGGGGAUAGCCUUUCGAAAGAGAGAUUAAUACCCCAUAACACAAGAAAUAGCAUUAUUUUUUGUUGAAAGAUCCGUCGGUCGAAGAUGAGUAUGCGGGUGAUUAGCUAGUUGGUGAGGUAACGGCUCACCAAGGCAACGAUCACUAGGGGAUCUGAGAGGACUACCCCCCACACUGGUACUGAGACACGGACCAGACUCCUACGGGAGGCAGCAGUAAGGAAUAUUGGACAAUGGAGGCAACUCUGAUCCAGCCAUGCCGCGUGCAGGAUGAAGGCCCUAUGGGUCGUAAACUGCUUUUGUACGAGAGAAAACCUAUUUACGUGUAGAUAGUUGAUAGUAUCGUAAGAAUAAGGAUCGGCUAACUUCGUGCCAGCCGCCGCGGUAAAAC
rnacentral:rRNA from 1 species